UCUAGUCCGCAGUCUAAUCGCUACUGGUGUAUUAGUAUUCGCAUUACUAAUUACGCAACUGCAUAACGUACAUCACGCAUUUGUUUGCAUUUUCAUUCCUCGUAUCGAUCAUUUGUAAAACGGAGUAGGGCAAAAUUGAAACGAUAACUCCAUAAUUAGAACAACAAUUCGCUCAGUGUGUAUAUAGACCAGACGUUGCUCCCUUUCUUUCUGAGCAGAGCGUGUUUCUUGAGCGGAAGGUGAUUCGACAAUUACGACGUCAUGAAACAUGGACGUACCAAAAGUUUUUGCAUCUAAAGAACGAGCACGGUGUUGCAGAGGAACUCGUAAAUGCUUUCAGACCAACGGCAGAAGACCGUAGAUCGUACUUGCUUGAAUUAUGCUCGGAGGUAGUUAGUUGGUAGAUUCAAAGUUCGAAAUGUGGAACAUUUUCUAGGACACUCUAAUCGCUAUCCGUUUCUUACAGAGUAGAUGGUAUUGUACCUAAAUCCAGCCGAUUAUUUCUGUACCUUUAAUGCGCGUAUGACAUCGAUUCGAUAUAAUACACGCGCUCAUUACACGUGUAAAAGAAACAAAAAAGACGUUCGAUGAACGGGAUUCGAACCGGCGAGAUCAAGCACAUGACCGGCCGAUUAUACCAUCUGCGGCACGGACACUACGCAACAGAGACCCGAGAACUACUAACCUACUUCCGCAGGUUAAAAACAGAGAAGGACAGACCGAAUAAUUUUCUUUAUGCAUGAUGUACGUUACGUAUUAGGUUGUCCGAAAAGUUUCUUUCGCUUUAUUAAUAAGUAAUACGUGCACAAUAUUCUAUGCUUUAUGUUACGUUACUGAAUUGUGCACGAUUCAUUUUGAUCCAUUGCCGUUACAACGUGAAUAUUUAUGAAACAAAGUCGGUUGAUUAGAUUGUUUAUAUAAACACGACCACGUAAAAUAAUUGAACGCAACUCGCGAAAGAAACUUUCGGGACAACCUAAUAAAAUCAUGGUAGCAAAGAUGUUUCCUUCGAUCUUGGAGAAAUGGACGAUUUUAAAAUAACCUGUUCCGUAUUUCGAAUCGAUCCUUUGGUGAAUAUCAACGUUACUCUUGUGUAACAAACUGUAUGCAAAAGUGUUGAAAUCAAAUGUAAUUUGUAUCUGA